rnacentral:rRNA from 1 species
AUUGAACGCUGGCGGAAUGCUUUACACGUGCAAGUCGAACGGCAGCACGGGGCAACCUGGUGGCGAGUGGCGAACGGGUGAGUAAUACAUCGGAACGUGCCCAAUCGUGGGGGAUAACGUAGCGAAAGUUACGCUAAUACCGCAUACGAUCUACGGAUGAAAGCGGGGGAUCGCAAGACCUCGCGCGAGUGGAGCGGCCGACGUCAGAUUAGGUAGUUGGUGGGGUAAAGGCUCACCAAGCCAACGAUCUGUAGCUGGUCUGAGAGGACGACCAGCCACACUGGAACUGAGACACGGUCCAGACUCCUACGGGAGGCAGCAGUGGGGAAUUUUGGACAAUGGGCGCAAGCCUGAUCCAGCCAUUCCGCGUGCAGGAUGAAGGCCUUCGGGUUGUAAACUGCUUUGUACGGAACGAAACGGACGAGCUCUAAUACAGUUUGCUAAUGACGGUACCGUAAGAAUAAGACACCGGCUAACUACGUGCCAGCAG